rnacentral:misc_RNA from 1 species
GAUGAAGAACGCAGCGAAAUGCGAUACUUGGUGUGAAUUGCAGAAUCCCGUGAACCAUCGAGUCUUUGAACGCAAGUUGCGCCCGAAGCCAUUAGGCCGAGGGCACGCCUGCCUGGGCGUCACACGUCGUUGCCCCCCCAUCUACUCCUUCGGGAUUGCGGGGGGCGGAUGAUGGCCUCCCGUGCGCCUCGCCGCGCGGUUGGCAUAAAUGCCAAGUCCUCGGCGACGCACGCCACGACAAUCGGUGGUUGCGAAACCUCGGUUGCCCGUCGUGUGCGGUCGUCGCGCAUCGUGGGCUCGAAAAAAUUGCCGGGUUCCGGCUCGGCUUUCAACGCGACCCCAGGUCAGGCGGGGUUACCCGCUGAAUUUAAGCAUAUCAAUAAGCGGAGGA